GCGGAGAUGGCGGAAUGGUAUACGCGUCUGUUUUAGGAACAGAAUUUUGAGAGUUCGAGUCUCUCUCUCCGUA
rnacentral:tRNA from 1 species